ACUUUUCUAAACACUCUCAACUAUCUCUAAUCACUCCCAAAUUACUCUAAAAUCGCAGCAACAUCAGAAGUUCGGACAGAAGCACUAUCCUUCAUGAAAAUGAGCAUAACUUCUUCAUUUCUUGUCCGAUUUAGUCCAUUCUUUUUCCUAUGUGCUUGGAUCGACCUUACCUUCGAUUCCAUGGGUAUUUCACAGUAAAUAGGUCCCUGGAACUCCGGAAAAUAGGCUCCAAAGUCCAUUGUUCGUUUUUGUUUUCAUUUAAUCUUUGUUAAACUUAACCAAACUUGAGUUUUUUCAUCUCAAACCUAUGUCCUAAUGCUUACAACCUAUCUUAUGAUUGGUUAGGCUUAAAAACAAGGUUGAGACAUGUGAAAUCAUAGGUGUAAACCUCACAUACUUUCUGUUUUGUUUGGGUUUUAACCCACAAGUAAUGAACAAGCCUAAUGCUUGAUGUUUGUGUGAUUAUAGGAGUAGCUUGGGCUAUCCUACUUGUAAGUCCACACAUUACUUGACGUUUUCCUUAGAUUAGUUGUAUUUAUUCAUUCUUUAUUGUAUGUUCAUGACCCUCCUUGGUUGUUUUUACAUCAAGUGUAGUGGUGAACACCUAGAGGUGCCUAAAUGGAAGACUUGAUCUUCCUACCUCCUACAUGAUUUCUAUGAUAUUUAGAGGUACCUAAAUGAAGAUCUUAAUCUUCUACCUCAUGCUUGAAAUAUUGGACUUAAUAAUAUGUAUAAAAUAUAUGUAAUAUAUAAGCACAUAAUCCAAAUAAUCGAAUCUUAGAUGAUGAAUUAGUGUUCAUAUGUCCCAGUACUAGAUUAUAUCAUCCUAUAGUAUGAUAACUUGUUACGAUUCUAAUGGAACCUUGUUCCAUGAAACCAUAUAAACUCCUUGGAGUACAUAGUGUCAAGAACAAGUAUCAUAUGUAUUAGAUGAUUAUUUUCACAUGUUAUUCUCAUAUGUUAUUUUCAUGUUGUUUUAUUCCGAACCUCGACUCUAAGCAUACUUGAACUUUAACCCUUAUACAUUCGGACUCUACAUCUCUAAUCGUCAACAAUUGGAUAAUCGGAAAGCAUAUGCAAUAUUGUGAGUAUACUUGAACCCCUUUUUCGUUUACCACUUUUUGGGGUGUAACAUGUUAUUUAUAAACUUACACACAAACUUUAUCAUAAUACAUAAACAUUCCUAUUACACGCAUGCUUAUUUGAUUACUUGAUACUUUAAACUUGGGUUGAGGACAUUAUGUGUUAAACUUAUCAUUAACUUCGUACGAGCCUAACCAUGACAUAUGUAGCGCUAUAGGAUUAACGACCCGCCUGCCCGUAGACUUGUGGUUAUGUCAUGAGCAUAUUCCGUUUCAUUAUUGGUUAGAUAUGUUUGACACAUGCCAAUUUUAUUGUUUAUCUCGUAUCAAGAGCUUGCCACGUGGAAUUGUUUAAACUUAUCUUUUGAUACGUUGAGGAGGAUGAUGCUAUGAAAUGAAGUAGCGUUGAUGCCUAGAUACACAUAUAGACGUUUAGGUUUAAUCGUUGUAUCAAUUUUGACUAUGUUGUAUUGUAUUUCCCUUGAACUUGAUGUUGUUUUGUAAUUUUGACUACAUUGUUUUAUCAAAUAUACUUCUUAUUCCACAAUCUAUUUUCACUCAACUCAUAUAC
rnacentral:lncRNA from 1 species